rnacentral:lncRNA from 1 species
GCCGCACUGCGCGGCGAUACCGCCGAGGUCCCCGCCCUGCUGUGCGCAUGCACCGCAGAUCAGCCUCCAUAGGCGCGGCGGCGCCGCGGAGCAUCCUGGGAUAUGUAGUGCGCGGCAGCGCUCGGCGGGAGUUGUAGUCCCCGCCUAAGGGGGAGGUGGGCCGCAGGCAGGCGGGGUGCCGGGCGUGUGAUUAGAUAAACACGGUGGUCUCCUACUCAGAAAAAAAAAACAACAGUACAGUCAGAAAGAGGAAGGAUAUGCACAAUAAUUAUGCACAAUAAAUAUGCACAAUAAUUAUGACAACAUAGAAUGUGACAUGCUGCUUGUGCCUCGUGCCAGCAGCACCAUUUGAGCAGAGCCCCACACUGCCCACUUUCAUUGCAGGGGAGUUGGACCCGGUGACCUUUAAAAGUCCCUUCCAACUCCAACGAUUCUAUGAUUGCUGCCACGUGACAGAGUUUUCAGCAGUGGUUAUGAAACGUGAGCAGUGAUGCUGCAGCCAUUUUGUCCCUGGGGAACUGAGGCAGGCAGUGUAUAAGUCACUGUGGUAUGGAAUGCAGUGGUGAUGGCACAACCUGUCUCACAGAGAGCUGUGCUACUGGCUGCAGUCUGCCUUGGAAAGAAUUCAUUGUUUGGGCGCGUGAAGAUUCCUCUGCUGCACUUCUCCUCUUGGUUCAGUGCUGACAGAAUGAUCGCAAGUGUGGCAGAUCCCCACAGGACUCCAGGUUGUGGCCUGACAUUACACUGGGCAUGGAAGAGCCCUUUGCCAAUAUGAAAUGCUAUUUCUAUAACCAAAACCUGAGCAGUCAAAACCAUUUCAUAGAUACAUGCAGAAGCUUUGCCAAGCUCUGUUCCUGUUUUUCUGAGUGGAGUAUUAUUUUCUGGAACCCCCGUCUUCAUCCUUUCUCUUGGAAGGAGAUUUACCAGGAAACAGCAGAUCUUCCACUCUUGCUAAAACCAGCUCCACUGGUUGUAGGAGUAGCUUUGAUGGGUUGUGUAAGAAAAGGAUUGCUGGGUCAUCUCCAGCUCACCAAGCUGAUGGUGGUGCUGGCAUCUGCUUUCCAUGCAGUCUGUCAUCGCAGAGGUGACAAAUGUUGACAGCUGUUUGCCGUCGGGCUCAUCUCCAUACCAUGCUCAUCUCCAGUGAGAAGUUCUCUGAGUCAGCCAGGUGGCUUUGCGUUUUGGAGGCAGAGUGUAUAUUUCCAUGGUAAUUUGGCUGGAUUUUUGUUCCCCCUGCUAUCUGGAAUGGCAGCAUUUCCAAAAGGUACAUUGGGCACUCUGGAUUUUAUUAUUGUUAUUCUGUACGUUGUUGGGCUAUGAAAUUCUUCAGUCCUUUUUGCUUUCGGACUGCUUGCAAUUCUGAUAUUAAUAAUGAAAAUGUGGCUGGUUCUGUCAGACCUACUCUGUCCCAGGGAGAAGAUAACAGGAGUGAUUUAAUUCUUUGAAUUAUUUGGUAGGCUCAUUGCACUCUUAGAAACGUCUGAAAGCAACUGUAACGGCAUGGGCCAUGUGCACGACCUCAGUACAAUGAAAAUACAUCCUCAGAUGUUAAAUAAUGCGUGAGGAACAACUGCACGCUGGGAUGAAUUAAGGUUAGAAGGGAGCAAGACAGGAUGAUGCUGGGAAAAAAAGAUAAAUAUUUGAUGGCAGGGAAGAUGCACAUCUCUCAUUUUAAUAGAGGUUAGUUAAGGUUUUGUUUAAAGAAACUAAGUGUGGUGCUGGUAGCUUCUGGGGAACCCCAGAGUGCCGGCUCCUGCCCAGGGGAAAGCCGGGCACCAGCCGCCCCCGAGCUGCUGGAAUUGAGAGCCUCAGCACUGUAGAACUGCCCGCUUACUGAGAAAUCAAGGCUGUGAUAGGGAGCCAAUUUAUUCCACAAAAUGAAAGAGCUGAGAUAAGGAAGAACAAAGGACAAAAGGAAAGAAAGGCAGAAAAUAAUGAUGGCUAACGAUUAUAUGACUAACCAACACCCCCGCAAUGAUUAAACAUUAAACUCCCACAAGCUAAGUAAACACAAAAAUACCCUCCAAAUUCCCCAAAGGCUUUGUCUUCUUAGCGGCAAGGGCUGAACUUGAGAGAAGAGCAUAGCACGUGGUGCCUAUGGCUCCCAUACAACCCCUGUAGGCGCUCAUCAGAGUCCCCCUUUCACGGCUGGUUUCUAGCCCAAAAAAGCAACAUGGUGGUAUUUUUCUCCCUGAAGGAGUAAUUUGGGGUCACGCAUCCUUAGCAUUGGAGGUUUCAAGGCAGCGGCUUCCCAUGCAGCGCCAGCAUUGCAGCACGCACGGGCACGCCAGGGCAAGUAGUGCUCAAGCAUGUCCUCCUUGCCAGGCUCCUUGCUUACAGAAAACUUCACCUUCCCACCUCCCCUUUGGUGUGCAGCCAUGUUUGUGUUGCAGGCUGGAAGCGGGGGCAGCAGGAGGUGCUGAAUGGUGAUUCAGAGCUGCUCUGAGGUGGUUUUUCCUGUGGAUGGCAAUGAGUCGCCGCAAGGAAGAGGGGAUGAGUUGUUGGCAGAGGGGCUGGGUCCGGGGGAACACCUCCUGGAAGUGCUGCAACACCAUUCCCAGUCACCUUUAGGCACAUGGAAGAGGUACACAGGGAUGCCUGGCUGCUGUGUGUUGGCAAAUACACCAGCUUGGUUAAAGUUGCGCCAAAAAUCCAGGUGGGCAGAAGGUCAGAUGUGCCAAAGUGAUUUCCGCUUGCAAAGUCUGAAAAUAGUUCACUCCUAAAGCUCACCUCCAUCACUUAGAACAAAACAGAAUCAAACUGUUACAUGUAAUAUAAUAAAUGUUCAUUUCUUUCAAUGCUGCAAGAAAGAGGGCAGACCCACGUGGUACUGAAAGUUUGCCCCACGCAAAAGUGGAGCUGUGCACAGUGGGACUGUUUGUCAGCAGAGCAAAAGUCAUGGCUAGACAGAUGCAAGCAAUUGUGUUAUUGUGGCUAAUAAGUUAAUUCAGCCCCAAGGAAGGCAAGUUUAUACAUAGAUAUGUAGAUAUAUACACAUAUAUAUGGAUACAUGUGUGUAUAUGUGUGUGGGUAGGUAUAUAUGUAUGUGUAUGUAUGUGUGUAUAUCUAUUUUCUUAUGUUUCCAGUAGGCUGUGGCCUGCUUGCAGCUAGGAAAUAUGGCUCAGUGAGUGAGGAGUGGUGUAGAAAGCUCAACUGGUUGGACAAAUGUCUGUGCAAAUGACAACAGCGUGCUAAAGACUGUUUUAAGGCAUAGAAAUGUGGGGAACCAAAGAGGUUGGCUGGCAGGAGAAAAGUAAAUGAGAAUAAGAGGAUAGAGGAGCAAAGAAGAGAAUAGGAAUGAAUGUUAGAGGAGUUUAAAAAAAGGGAAUUACGGAACAGACAUAACAUCAGGGGAGAUUACAGGGAGAAAGCAGACUGAGUUGACCUCUUUCCGAUGGCAGUGGUGAAACAAAAUCCAUUAUUGGUACCUCUAGUGAUUGUGUAGCUCACAGCUUGGCAAAUCCAGCCUGGCACAGCCAAAGGCAGAGAGCCGGGUGCUGCUGCUCUGCUGUUUUGCUUCCUUGGACGGAGGCCGUGACAUUGCUAUUUUCCACUAGACUGCUCAGCUGUCUGUUUACAAACAGAGCAGCGUCUCCCACAUCUGUCUGCAUUCUCCUUGCAGCUACAUCAUGUUCUCUGCAAGUUCCCACACUGCACGCUGCCCUUUACAGGACGGUAACUGAGCUGGUGCCCGUCAAACACCGUCCAGCUUAGCUCACCUAACAAAACAGAAGGGCAAACUCGCACCUGAUGAAAGCUGUCUUAGCUGUGACAUCAUGUUUUGCUAGUUUGAGCAACCAAUUUGAGAAGGUUGAAGAGGAAUAAAGAGAUGACACAGUAGGAUAUUUCUGGAAAUGUCUAGAUUUCUACAAAUACUGAUGAAAUCAUAACCAGAACGAAGUGCAGCUGUGCAGGGAAGAGGCACCUCUUGUUUCACCUCUGUCCUCAGGCCAAAAGGAGCCCAGCCUGGUUGGAGAAGAGAUGUGGCUGCUCAGCAUCACAGCACCCAAAGCAGCCUUAGUUCUUCUUUAACCUUGGGUUAUGAGUAUGAAGAAUCAUAGAACAGCUCAAGUUGGAAAGGACCUAAGAGAUCAUCCAAGCCCUGCGCUGGGCUGGGUGCCCCCCAGCAGGGUGCACAGGGCCCAUCCGUGGCCUUGGGCACCUCCAGACGUGGGGCAUCCACACUUCUCUGGGCAAUCCUGCAUGUGAACUCGGGAGCAUUCUGCCUACAGGAGUUACCUGCUAGAGGACAUCCCCAAAUGUUUUACAUUUCCUAAACUACACCGGUGUUGUAAUUACACAAAUAACCAAACAGAGGUUUUAUUAGGAACUGUUUAGACUUACAUACUCAGCCACCUGUUAUCUGCUAAAAUGUUGGCAGAAAUGAUUGUUUUAAUUCCCUCUUGGAGUUGUGAUUUAGUGCAAGCAUGCUGCCUUUUUGUUCAUGAGCAAAAAAUAAAUCUUAUGCUGAAAUGAGCAUGUGGUAUUUGGCACAGUGUUCUCUUGACCCCAGAAUUACCACAAAACGUGUAUUUUAAUGUUGACAGUAAAUGUGUUUACA